rnacentral:rRNA from 1 species
AAUCAACGCUGGCGGCGUGCCUAACACAUGUAAGUCGAGCGCGAAAGGGGGGCAACUCCCGAGUAGAGCGGCGAACGGGUGAGUAACGCGUGGGUAAUCUACCUCCGAGUGGGGAAUAACAGCGGGAAACUGCUGCUAAUACCGCAUGACAUCGUCGGGUCGAUGGAUCUGACGAUCAAAGCCGGGGACCGCAAGGCCUGGCGCUUGGAGAGGAGCCCGCGUCCGAUAGCUAGUUGGCGGGGUAACGGCCCACCAAGGCGACGAUCGGCAGCCGGCCUGAGAGGGCGGACGGCCACACUGGGACUGAGACACGGCCCAGACUCCUACGGGAGGCAGCAGUGGGGAAUUUUUCGCAAUGGGGGAAACCCUGACGAAGCAACGCCGCGUGGAGGAUGAAGGCCUUCGGGUCGUAACU